rnacentral:rRNA from 1 species
CAGUCGCCGCGGUAAUACAGAGGGUGCGAGCGUUAAUAGGAUUUACUGGGCGUAAAGCGUGCGUAGGCGGCUUUUUAAGUCGGAUGUGAAAGCCCCGGGCUCAACCUGGGAACUGCAUCCAAAACUGGCAAGCUAGAGUACGGUAGAGGGUGGUGGAAUUUCCUGUGUAGCGGUGAAAUGCGUAGAUAUGGGAAGGAACACCAGUGGCGAAGGCGACCACCUGGACUGAUACUGACACUGAGGUGCGAAAGCGUGGGGAGCAAACAGGAUUAGAUACCCCCGUAGUCCCUGUCUCUUAUAC